GAUCAUGGCUCAGGAUGAACGCUAGCGACAGGCUUAACACAUGCAAGUCGAGGGGCAGCGGGGAGUAGCAAUACUCUGCCGGCGACCGGCGCACGGGUGAGUAACGCGUAUGCAACUUGCCUAUCAGAGGAGAAUAGCUCAUCGAAAGAUGAAUUAAUGCUCCAUGAAAUAGGGGUCUCGCAUGGGAAUAUUUGUUAAAGAUUCAUCGCUGAUAGAUAGG
rnacentral:rRNA from 1 species